GAGUUUGAUCGUGGCUCAGGACGAACGCUGGCGGCGUGCUUAACACAUGCAAGUCGAACGGUGACGACAGGGCUUGCCUUGUCUGAUCAGUGGCGAACGGGUGAGUAACACGUGAGUAACCUGCCCCUGACUCUGGGAUAACCCCGGGAAACCGGAGCUAAUACCGGAUACGACACGCCUCCGCAUGGGGAGCGUGUGGAAAGUUUUUCGGUCUGGGAUGGACUCGCGGCCUAUCAGCUUGUUGGUGAGGUAAUGGCUCACCAAGGCGACGACGGGUAGCCGGCCUGAGAGGGCGACCGGCCACACUGGGACUGAGACACGGCCCAGACUCCUACGGGGGCAGCAGUGGGGAAUAUUGCACAAUGGGCGAAAGCCUGAUGCAGCGACGCCGCGUGAGGGAUGACGGCCUCGGUUGUAAC
rnacentral:rRNA from 1 species